rnacentral:rRNA from 1 species
AUACGGAGGGUGCAAGCGUUGUUCGGAAUUACUGGGCGUAAAGGGCGCGCAGGCGGUUUGGUAAGUCAGAUGUGAAAGUCCAGGGCUUAACCCUGGAAGUGCAUAUGAAACUGUCAGACUUGAGUAUCAGAGGGGAAAGUGGAAUUCCCGGUGUAGAGGUGAAAUUCGUAGAUAUCGGGAGGAGUACCGGUGGCGAAGGCGACUUUCUGGCUGAAUACUGACGCUGAGGCGCGAAAGCGUGGGGAGCAGACAGGAUUAGAUACCCGCGUAGUCC